GGGGAAUCUUGCGCAAUGGGGGAAACCCUGACGCAGCGACGCCGCGUGGGUGAAGAAGGCCUUCGGGUUGUAAAGCCCUGUCGGAUGGGAAAAACGGUUAGUGUGCUAAUACCACAUUAGCGUGAUGGUACCAUCGGAGGAAGCACCGGCUAACUCUGUGCCAGCAGCCGCGGUAAUACAGAGGGUGCAAGCGUUGUUCGGAAUUAUUGGGCGUAAAGGGCAGGUAGGUGGUUUUGUAAGUCUGCUGUGAAAUCCCCAGGCUUAACCUGGGAAGUGCGGCAGAUACUGCAGAACUAGAGUACUGGAGGGGUUCGUGGAAUACUCGGUGUAGCGGUGAAAUGCGUAGAUAUCGAGUGGAACACCAGAGGCGAAGGCGACGAACUGGACAGUAACUGACACUCAACUGCGAAAGCGUGGGGAGCAAAC
rnacentral:rRNA from 1 species